rnacentral:rRNA from 1 species
UACGUAGGGUGCAAGCGUUUAAUCGGAAUUACUGGGCGUAAAGCGUGCGCAGGCGGUUUUGUAAGUCUGUCGUGAAAUCCCCGGGCUCAACCUGGGAAUUGCGAUGGAGACUGCAAGGCUAGAAUCUGGCAGAGGGGGGUAGAAUUCCACGUGUGAGCAGUGAAAUGCGUAGAGAUGUGGAGGAACACCGAUGGCGAAGGCAGCCCCCUGGGUCAAGAUUGACGCUCAUGCACGAAAGCGUGGGAGCAAACGAAGG